CGGCUAAUGUGUCUUGGCUAAUGUGUCUCGGCUAAGGUGUCUUGGCUAAUGUGUCUUGGCUAAUGUGUCUCGGCUAAUGUGUCUUGGCUAAUGUGUCUCGGCUAAUGUGUCUCGGCUAAGGUGUCUUGGCUAAUGUGUCUUGGCUAAUGUGUCUUGGCUAAGGUGUCUUGGCUAAGGUGUCUUGGCUAAUGUGUCUUGGCUAAGGUGUCUUGGCUAAGGUGUCUUGGCUAAUGUGUCUUGGCUAAGGUGUCUUGGCUAAGGUGUCUUGGCUAAUGUGUCUUGGCUAAUGUGUCUUGGCUAAUGUGUCUUGGCUAAGGUGUCUUGGCUAAGGUGUCUUGGCUAAGGUGUCUUGGCUAAGGUGUCUUGGCUAAUGUGUCUUGGCUAAGGUGUCUUGGCUAAUGUGUCUUGGCUAAGGUGUCUUGGCUAAUGUGUCUUGGCUAAGGUGUCUUGGCUAAUGUGUCUUGGCUAAGGUGUCUUGGCUAAAGUGUCUUGGCUAAGGUGUCUUGGCUAAUGUGUCUUGGCUAAGGUGUCUUGGCUAAGGUGUCUUGGCUUAUGUGUCUUGGCUAAUGUGUCUCGGCUAAUGUGUCUUGGCUAAGGUGUCUUGGCUAAUGCGUCUUGGCUAAGGUGUCUUGGCUAAUGUGUCUUGGCUAAAGUGUCUUGGCUAAGGUGUCUUGGCUAAUGUGUCUUGGCUAAGGUGUCUUGGCUAAAGUGUCUUGGCUAAGGUGUCUUGGCUAACGUGUCUUGGCUAAUGUGUCUUGGCUAAGGUGUCUUGGCUAAAGUGUCUUGGCUAAGGUGUCUUGGCUAAUGUGUCUUGGCUAAGGUGUCUUGGCUAAUGUGUCUUGGCUAAGGUGUCUUGGCUAAUGUGUCUUGGCUAAGGUGUCUUGGCUAAUGUGUCUUGGCUAAGGUGUCUUGGCUAAUGUGUCUUGGCUAAGGUGUCUUGGCUAAAGUGUCUUGGCUAAGGUGUCUUGGCUAAUGUGUCUUGGCUAAGGUGUCUUGGCUAAUGUGUCUUGGCUAAGGUGUCUUGGCUUAUGUGUCUUGGCUAAGGUGUCUUUACUAAGGUGUCUUGGCUAAGGUGUCUUGGCUAAUGUGUCUUGGCUAAGGUGUCUUGGCUUAGGUGUCUUGGCUAAGGUGUCUUGGCUAAGGUGUCUUGGCUAAUGUGUCUUGGCUAAGGUGUCUUGGCUAAUGUGUCUUGGCUAAGGUGUCUUGGCUAAGGUGUCUUGGCUAAGGUGUCUUGGCUAAGGUGUCUUGGCUAAGGUGUCUUGGCUAAUGUGUCUUGGCUAAGGUGUCUUGGCUAAAGUGUCUUGGCUAAAGUGUCUUGGCUAAGGUGUCUUGGCUAAUGUGUCUUGGCUAAAGUGUCUUGGCUAAGGUGUCUUGGCUAAGGUGUCUUGGCUAAUGUGUCUUGGCUAAGGUGUCUUGGCUAAGGUGUCUUGGCUAAUGUGUCUUGGCUAAUGUGUCUCGGCUAAUGUGUCUUGGCUAAGGUGUCUUGGCUAAUGUGUCUUGGCUAAUGUGUCUUGGCUAAGGUGUCUUGGCUAAGGUGUCUUGGCUAAUGUGUCUUGGCUAAGGUGUCUUGGCUAAGGUGUCUUGGCUAAUGUGUCUUGGCUAAGGUGUCUUGGCUAAGGUGUCUUGGCUAAUGUGUCUUGGCUAAUGUGUCUUGGCUAAUGUGUCUUGGCUAAGGUGUCUUGGCUAAGGUGUCUUGGCUAAGGUGUCUUGGCUAAGGUGUCUUGGCUAAUGUGUCUUGGCUAAUGUGUCUCGGCUAAUGUGUCUUGGCUAAUGUGUCUUGGCUAAGGUGUCUUGGCUAAUGUGUCUUGACUAAGGUGUCUUGGCUAAUGUGUCUUGGCUAAUGUGUCUCGGCUAAUGUGUCUCGGCUAAUGUGUCUUGGCUAAUGUGUCUCGGCUAAGGUGUCUUGGCUAAUGUGUCUUGGCUAAUGUGUCUCGGCUAAUGUGUCUUGGCUAAUGUGUCUCGGCUAAUGUGUCUCGGCUAAGGUGUCUUGGCUAAUGUGUCUUGGCUAAUGUGUCUUGGCUAAGGUGUCUUGGCUAAUGUGUCUUGGCUAAUGUGUCUUGGCUAAGGUGUCUUGGCUAAUGUGUCUUGGCUAAGGUGUCUUGGCUAAGGUGUCUUGGCUAAUGUGUCUUGGCUAAUGUGUCUUGGCUAAGGUGUCUUGGCUAAGGUGUCUUGGCUAAGGUGUCUUGGCUAAGGUGUCUUGGCGAAUGUGUCUUGGCUAAUGUGUCUCGGCUAAUGUGUCUCGGCUAAUGUGUCUUGGCUAAUGUGUCUCGGCUAAGGUGUCUUGGCUAAUGUGUCUUGGCUAAUGUGUCUUGGCUAAGGUGUCUUGGCUAAGGUGUCUUGGCUAAGGUGUCUUGGCUAAGGUGUCAUGGCUAAGGUGUCUUGGCUAAUGUGUCUUGGCUAAGGUGUCUUGGCUUAUGUGUCUUGGCUAAUGUGUCUUGGCUAAUGUGCUUUGGCUAAGGUGUCUUGGCUAAUGUGUCUUGGCUAAGGUGUCUUGGCUAAGGUGUCUUGGCUAAUGUGUCUUGGCUAAGGUGUCUUGGCUAAUGUGUCUUGGCUAAGGUGUCUUGGCUAAUGUGUCUUGGCUAAUGUGUCUUGGCUAAUGUGUUUUGGCUAAUGUGUCUUGGCUAAUGUGUCUUGGCUAAUGUGACUUGGCUAAGGUGUCUUGGCUAA